rnacentral:lncRNA from 1 species
AUGAGCAGAGUGGAGCUUUGUGUGUUCCUGUUGGGACGAGAUGCCAAUGCAAACAUUCAGGACAACCAGGGAAGAUCUGCGUUAAUGCUGGCCUGUGAGAGUGACAGUGUUGAAACUGUAGAGGCCCUGCUGAGAGGCGGGGCCAACACACAGCUGGUCGACGUCUUUGGACACACAGCCACCGACUACAGCGUGACCACAGGAAACCAGCGUAUCUUACAGAUGUUGCAGGAUGGAGUACCACCAGGUACUGUACAAGGCCUGGGGGACUUUUUGAUUUGGAGAGAUAGAAGGGACUGAAUUAAUAUGAAUAUAAGUUAUCUCUGUGAAAUCAAGUGGAAUAAAUGAAACGGCUCACGGCAUCACGUGACAGCAGCAUCUAAAAGACCAGUAGACCUGGUGUUUAGCUUCCCUUUGUGGCUGUGCUGCUCUGGAUCGUGACUGGUACGCUGUAAUAAGAGGAAGUAGAUCAGGUGGACAGCUGGGUGUGAUUUGAAAAUGGGUUAGGGUUAGGGUUUGGGAAAAAAAAGGAGACGAAAAGACUUGUUCCUCUUUUAUCUCCUAACAAAGACUCGGCUGUUGUAUGAAAAACGUGUGACUGGUUGAAAAAGGAGAAGAAAGAGAGAAUUAGGUGUGUAUAUGAUGCCUGACCACAUUAGUUUUUGUUCUUUAACUGGAGAAUUUGGUGGAUUUACAUUAUAUUAUAUACUACAUUUUUAAAAAGUGAGUGGCAGUGGGGAUGUGUAUACCUGUGUGUGUGCACAUAUACUCAUGUGCCUCUGGUUGUUUGCUGAACCUCACUGCCAUAGAGGUUAAAGUGUUUUGCUGUGUGUGUCUUCUCCCUCGGCACACGUAGCUUCUGAGGGCGCGGGCGAGGAGGUAAGGUUGCACAGCUAUGUAUUGCAUCACUCCCUCCAUCAAUGAGCUCAUGGCUCAUUUUGGCCGAUCAUAUUGUGCAUGUUUUCCAAUAUGAGGUCAUUGUUUUUGUGUGCUGCUUUUCUUUUUCUUUUUUUCUGGCUUUCAUUCCGCCCUUGUUGUCGACCCUUUUGUCUUAGUUUCCUCCGCUUUUCCAUUUUAAGUUGAGCUUGACCUCUGCUUGUAUGUGAUCCUCCCUGCAAACCCCCACACAGCCCCCCCAAGUCCCCUCAGGCGCCUCAUCAGUGCAUGGGGGGACUACCCCCCGCAAACGGAAAGCUCCUCCACCCCCCCGCUCUCCUCUCCAGGUACUGCAAGAACACUUUUUUUUUUUUAAAUGCCAUAUAGCAUCAUCAGUGCUCAGUCUAUAUAACAUGUAUCAGUGGGAACAAUGUCUACCAGCCUACUUAAAUAUCUACCCCAUCACAUGUUGCAAAUGUGAAUGUUAAACUUGUGAGUUUUCUGCCUCAGAUUGUGUAAUUAAGAGAUAAAACAAAAAAAGAUUUAUUGGUGACAAUUUUCCAGUAAGCUUCUUAUUCACAAUGUGUGGACAAACGGGAUUCAAG